rnacentral:sRNA from 1 species
GCUUUUCCGUAACGGGGAAGGAUGAGAAGCUUCGAUUAAGGUUCGAUUCGAGCGUAGCGAGAAAGCGUUGCCGCAGGCAACGACCCGAAGGGCGAGGCGCAACGCGCCGAGUAAUCCUUCCCCCACCACCA